UUAGUCAAUCCCUUCCAAUAUAGAUGGAACGUACUAAACGUGCUCAUUCAUAAUGUGAGAACUCAUUCUGUCCAAUAUCAAUGAAACAACACUCAAUUAUAAUGGGUGGGCUGUUUUCAUUCCACCAUGAAUGGAGCUCGAAAUAAUCAUGCAGAUAGAUGUUCCAUCAUGCCUUUCCAGCCUGGAAGGACCUCAAAUAAAUACGCCGAAAGGCGUGCCUUGCAGUGCAAGGCGAGUACGUGUACGGUUGUGAAUUGACACAUUGAAGACAAUUCUACUGUUCGCUCCUCUGACAUUCACACAGGAAAAUCACUGGUUGCCCGUGCAGUUAGCGCCUUAAGCAAAGGAAAUAGAAUGGACAAUGCCAGAAAUAGCGUCGAACCUGCAAGCACUAGGUUACAGUUGGCGGGGCACAAAAGACAUGAAUCGGGUACUACUGGGACUUGGUGAAGCUGCAAGUUGUGGGUUAACGGACACCAGAAAUCCAAUCUGUCGGCUCCACUUCUGUCUUGGGCUGUUCUGGCAUUUCAUGGCUUGUGUCAAGAUGGGCACCACCACCAUUAUGGUAAACAUGUGAGGUGUAAUGACAACACCAGAUGUGGGCCUUGCCAUUGUCUCUCUCUAGUUCGCCACUCUGCAUCAUCAUUUCAUUUCAAUUGGAUUCAUUUCUACUGCCAAAUCACAUUGAAUGCCUUGGAAGUGACCUCAGAGUACAUCUUUCAAUAGAUUCCUAUGGGCCUUGCCACAGUCCCUCUCUGGUUCGCCACUCUGCGUCUCCAUUUCAUUAAAACUGCCAAUAGAUUCCUAAUGAGCGCGUGGAAAUUGAUUUGGCGGAAAGUUGACCAAAGGAAGAAUAGUUUUGAGAAUUCAUGGCGACUUUCUUUCUUAUUAAUUUCGGGUACAAGAUUUCCUUUCACUUUAGAUAACAGAGAUCCAAGCACAGUACAGUAAAAAGGACAUAUGUCUGUACAAGUUUUUCUCCGUCUGGUCAUUUUCUCAAGCUCUAAAGUCUUCACAAAUUUUGGUUUCAAAAAAGAUCUGAAAUAUUUACUUGCAAUCACAUGAAAGAUUCAGUUGCCCCAUGUUCUGGUAGACUGGACCACAUUUGACUUGCUGAUAAACAUUUGUCAGUAGUCAAUGAAUUGCGACAUCCUCUUGAUUCAUUUUAAAAAUAAAAUUGAGAAAAUUUAACA